rnacentral:rRNA from 1 species
ACCCGCUGAAUUUAAGCAUAUUAUUAAGUGGAGGAAAAGAAACUAACCAGGAUUCCCCCAGUAAGGGCGACUGAAGCGGGAAAUGCUCAAGAUGUGAAUCAGCAUCUCGGCAUUGAAUUGUGGUCUGUAGACGGUGUCAUUGCCAGCCAGGCCAAGUCCCUUGGAAAAGGGCAGCUGAGAGGGUGAAACUCCUGUACACCCGGCAGGAUGUGCUGCUAGUCAAUGAGUCGAGUUGUUUGGGAUUGCAGCUCAAAGUUGGUGGUAAACUCUAUCUAAGGCUAUAUACUGGUGGGAGACCGAUAGCGUACAAGUACCGUGAGGGAAAGAUGCAGAGAACUUUGAAAAGAGAGUUAAAGAGUACCUGAAAUUGCUGAAAGGGAAGCGAAGGAAACCAGUGCAAGUCUUGUCAUACUUCCCUGGCUGCUUGCAGCUUGGGCGCUGUGUCGGAUUGAUGUCUUGGUGGGUUAGGACUUUUGAAGGAGCUUGGAGGGAGUUGACCUCCUUUGCUGUCAUUGGCCCCAACCGAGUCAGACGAAAUGGUUUUCUUUCCCCCGUCUUGAAACACGGACCAAGG